UACGUAGGGGGCAAGCGUUGUCCGGAUUUAUUGGGCGUAAAGAGCGUGUAGGCGGCCAGGUAGGUCUGCUGUGAAAACUCGAGGCUCAACCUCGAGACGUCGGUGGAAACCGUUUGGCUAGAGUCCGGAAGAGGAGAGUGGAAUUCCCGGUGUAGCGGUGAAAUGCGCAGAUAUCGGGAAGAACACCCGUGGCGAAGGCGGCUCUCUGGGACGGUACUGACGCUGAGACGCGAAAGCGUGGGGAGCGAACAGG
rnacentral:rRNA from 1 species